rnacentral:misc_RNA from 1 species
UACCGAACCAGCCACCGCUGCG